CCGGCAUUUGAAAUGGCUAAGCUGAGCAGAAGUGAAAUCAUACCUGGAGAUCAUAUUUUCACUUACAAGAGCGGGAGCGGCCAUGAUCACGACCACCAUGGUAUUUAUGUUGCGGAGAAUCAGGUGAUACAUUUUACUUUACAACGCAAUCUUGUGCAAGCACAGUGUUUAACCCAUCUCUUCCGUGCGAUGAAUGCGGGUUUCAAUCGGGAUACGGAGUAGUGCUAUCCUGCUUAGAUUGCUUUCGUCUGGGAGGAGAUAUCUAUCGAUAUGAAUACGGAGUUUACGGAAAGAAAGGAGCCAGCACGACUUGGCCUUCAGAAUCCCCAGAAGUGGCAAUUAGCCGGGCAAUAAACUUGUGUAAAUACGGCUUUGGACGUUACGAUGAUCCGUCUAACUCUGAGAAUUUCGUUUUCUUCUGCAAGACUGAGCGGGUUUUAUCAAUUGAGAAAGAAACAAAUGGUGGAUAUAGUUUCCUUGGAAUAUCUGCUCUUGUUUUCUCUGCUGGUGCCUUAAUUAUUCGUGCAAUGAGGUGAUUGGUGAAGAAACCAUCCCCAACCAGUUAUGCAUCUACAAAUAGCGAACAUGUUUGCCAUAAUACCAUGUGAUAGCUUACAUAGUGGUUUUUGUUAGUAAUAAAUAAAGUUGCUCCAGCUUUAGUAACACCAUAAAUAUAUGUAUAUAUUUGUAGAAGAAAAUAGUUUGCCCUAUACCUUCUUAUAAAUAAAAGCAUAAAUUAAUAUAGAUUAAAUAAUGGAAGUUUAGAUAUAAAAAAUUAUAAUCUCUACAAGUUAUUUUAAGAUUUAUUUCAUUUAAUUGUUUGUUUUUCUUCUGUAAUUUAUUUGAUUGAUCUUCAACUCUUUUGUUGUCUUUACUUAUUUGAAUUUGAGGGCUAGUGGUAUCUAGAAAUAUCUUGGAAGGAUCAUUGUUGUGUCAAUAUAAGAUACAUUCUUCUUGAUUGAAUGUGUGUACAAGAAGAAGAAAAUCACUCAAAUCAAUCAUGUAUAUGCUCCUUAAAUAUUUGUGUCAAUGUAAAUUCCUUUUUCAAUUAAACUCUUGUAAUACAAAUGAUACAUAAGAAAUUCUUUGACUCUUCAAUAAUUAGGAGAUGUCUAAAGUGAAUGAAUUGAAUGCAUUUGAAAACAAGAACAUAGCAAUACAUUGUACAUAAAUAUAAUUGUGAUCCUAGUAAAGAAGAGUAUAGGAAAGAGAUGACUAAAUUUGAAAUAAACUUUUAAGUUUGAAAGGGUCAAAUCCAUGAUUAUAGAGUAAGGAAAUUGCAUAUAAAAAUGUGAAUACAAAGAUAGGAUGAGGGAUAAGUGCAUAGGAAUGUCUACAAUGGAUAGAUAGGUGAGAAAGUAAAGUGAGCCAACAUUAAGCAAAAUUAAGUCAUUGUCAAUAUAUGUAUGUAUUAACACACUCUCCUUAUAAUAGACCCUAAAAUAAAUGGAUAAUAACAUAAGUAUAUGAAUUUCACUAAUAAAUUAUUUUAUUAUCUUAUUUUCUCAUUCAUACCAUAGUAGAUGUGUAAUUCAUUAGGUUUGUCUAUAAGAAGAUUAUUUGGACCUUUUUUUAUAUAAGAAUACAUGCAUAGCCGGAAUGUGUGUAAAGUGUGAUGGAUAAUUAGAUGGCAUAAAUUAAGAUACUUAAUUUAAACAAAAUUGACUUUAUAUCAAAAUAUUCUCCUCUAAAUAAACUUAAAAUUACAAAUUAGGAUAAAAGAAUAUAUUAUAUAUUAUUUAUACCUAGUAGAGGAGCACCCGGGUUGACAAGCAAUCAACACAAAAAAAAAUAUUAAAAAAUUAGUUUCUAGUUUGAUUGUUUUUCCAGUUUUGUUUUCGUUUCCGGCUCUAGUUUCAGCUGGCAUAUCUUAUCAGUCUUUCAACAUUUCGCUAUUAUUUGAUCAAGCUCUACACCUCUUCAUGACGAUGAUAGAAUCAGAUAUGAAGUAUAAGUGACAAAGCCUUUGAAUUGUUCAAAGAAAUGUGGUCUUAUUUAAAGCAAUGAUUGGAAAAGUGUAAUUGGCUGGUGUAAAGUGAGUCUCCAAAAAAGUGGAAUUGGGCAUGGACAUCCAUCCAUUCUUUUUGUCAGAUGUUGAUGUUGUGACUGCCCUAAAAGACAUGUAUACAAAAUGUGGAAACCAUAGACAUGCAUGUGGACUGUUUGACAGAAUGCCUUAAGGGAAUUGCACGAUAUGCACAAAUUGAAUUUGUUGAUAAGGCUUUAAAAUCCUUGCAGCAAAUACGAUUGCCUACUGUAUAACCAAAUUCCUCAACCUCGCCAACAACCUCCCACCGUGCUUAGAAUGGGAACUUUGGAACAGAAUAUGGACAUGCAUCAACGUAGAAUAGAAUGGUGUUUUUUUUUUGGUCAGAUAUUAUAAUGGUCUGGUCAAUAUACAAAAUGCCUCAAAAAAGGAUGUACUCACAUGGAAUGCACAAGUGGAUUUGUUGAUUAGGCUGUAAACACCUUCAAGCAAUUGGCAGAUGUAAAGCCAAAUUUGCCAACCUUUGCUAACAUCCUCCAAACUCAUGCAAAAUGGGAGCUUUGAAAAAGGGUAUGGACAUCCACCAAUGCAUACUGAAAAUGCUUUAGAAACAUUUGAAUAUAAUGCAAUUGACAGGUAUGAAGAUUUGACAAAACUUAAAGGUCUUCAGUGUUUGACCGAUUCUAUUCCAAUAUUGGAAAAAUGGUAAUUAAUUCACAGCUGGCAAUUUUGUUUAUUUCUACAACCGACUACUUCAGAAAGAUCAGAUUUUCUUCUAUCCUUAUUCUCUAGCAGUGCAGAUCAAAUUUUGGUUUUGUCCUCUCUUCAACCGACUGCUCACUCAGGAAAAUCUGAUUGUUAUGUCAAAUCAUGGUUUAAUCCCUAUCUUCUUACUUGCCAUGUAGUGCUAGUUAAGUGUCUUGCUGUAGUUAUAAAUACAGAAGGCUAUCGUAAUUUGUUACACAUAGAAUAAAUAAAAAGAAGUAUUUUCCUCUUAUGUUCUAGCAUAGUGUAUGGUGCUGCUGUUUAGUUUUGCUCUAGUUUGCCAAAUUAAAUCCCCUGUUUUCUGCCAGUUGAAUCCUCUGUUUUCAAGCAUUGAGCUUCUUUUACAUUCUCUGUCUCCCAUAAAACCUUCAUCUAGUAUCAGAGCUUGGUUCAUUUUUCCUUCUGAUUCAAUUUUUUAUUGUCAUCAAUGGCUUUUUCUGGUGCAUCCUUUUCUAGUAUGCAGGCUCCCUUAUUUACGAGCAAAAAUUAUGAAUAUUGGUCAUUGACCAUGAAAGCUAUGUUUAGAGCAAAAGAUGUAUGGGAAAUAAUAGAGAAUGGCUAUACAAAACCUGUAAAUGUAGUAGCAUACAACACACUCACACAAGCUGAGAAAGACACUUUGAAUGAACAUAGGAGGAAAGAUGGUAAAGUCCUCUUUUACAUUAUCCAGGCAAUGCAUGAGAGUAUACUCCCAAGAGCAGCAGCAACAAAAAAAGAGCAAAGGAGGCAUGCCACACCUUGCAAGUGGCUUACCAAGGUACGACUGCACUUAAUGAUGAAAUGAUCAAUGUUGUAGUGGAUCUUGAGAAGGUUGAGGGCUCUUUUGAUUCAAGCCAUGGUUCUAUGGCCAUUUCUCUUUUAUUGAUAAUGUAUUCCCCAAUUUAUAUCAGUCAGAUGUUUCAACAAUGCAAUGCAUGAGCAAACAUGAUAUCUCAACUUAAUGACUAAGAAAAGGAUUUUUCGGGGGUUAUAAAACGCUUUCAUGUUACACAACAAAGUGGGGUCCCAACACUUGAAAUGGGCAAGCUUAGCAGAAGUGAGAUUGUAGCUGGGGAUCAUAUUUACAGUCCAAGGCCGCUCGGCUAUGACCAUCAUGGUAUUUAUGUUGGGGAGAAUCGGGUGACACAUUUUACAAGCUCCGCAUAAGGCACGUCUUGUGCGAGCUCGAGUGGUGUGUUUGGUCCGUGCUCUGCUUGCGGCUUCCAUAGCUGAAUGAGUGGAGCAGUGCCUAGGUGCCUACGAACUAAAUGGUGAGGCAUCCUUAUUAAUCCGGGAUUGGGUGCUUUAAUGCAUCGAUGCAUAUGGUUAUAAACAAAAUUAAACUUUUCGUCUAGGCUAAUUCAAUGAAGUAGUAUACAUGGAGGGCAUAGAGUAAUUUAGAUUAAACAAGUGUUUGCAGACUGUAUAAGGGUUGAGUUUAAUGGCUUAAAAAGUUGAUUUUUA